UACGUAGGGCGCAAGCGUUGUCCGGAAUUAUUGGGCGUAAAGAGCUCGUAGGCGGUUUGUCGCGUCUGCUGUGAAAACCUAAGGCUCAACCUUGGGCUUGCAGCCGAUACGGGCAGGCUAGAGUUCGGUAGGGGAGACUGGAAUUCCUGGUGUAGCGGUGGAAUGCGCAGAUAUCAGGAGGAACACCAAUGGCGAAGGCAGAUCUCUGGGCCGUAACUGACGCUGAGGAGCGAAAGCAUGGGGAGCGAACAGG
rnacentral:rRNA from 1 species